rnacentral:rRNA from 1 species
AGUGAACGCUGGCGGUAGGCCUAACACAUGCAAGUCGAACGGCAGCACAGUAAGAGCUUGCUCUUACGGGUGGCGAGUGGCGGACGGGUGAGGAAUACAUCGGAAUCUACUUUUUCGUGGGGGAUAACGUAGGGAGACUUACGCUAAUACCGCAUACGACCUACGGGUGAAAGCAGGGGAUCUUCGGACUUUGCGCGGUUGAAUGAGCCGAUGUCGGAUUAGCUAGGUGGCGGGGUAAAGGCCCACCAAGGCGACGAUCCGUAGCUGGUCUGAGAGGAUGAUCAGCCACACUGGAACUGAGACACGGUCCAGACUCCUACGGGAGGCAGCAGUGGGGAAUAUUGGACAAUGGGGGCAAGCCUGAUCCAGCCAUACCGCGUGGGUGAAGAAGGCCUUCGGGUUGUAAAGCCCUGUUGUUGUGAAAGAAAAGCAGCACGUUAAUACCCCGCUGUUCUGACGGUACCAAAAGAAUAAGCACCGGCUAACUUCGUG